rnacentral:lncRNA from 1 species
GGCCUUUGGUAUCCAGUAAAAUAAAUGGAGAGACGCUCAGUAAAUGUCUUUUAAGUGAGUGUCCUAAUAAAUGUUCCCUAAAGUGUUUAUUUGAGUCCCGUGUCUUAUAUCAUUUGACAGAACCACACAAUUUGGGUUCUGUGAGGUGGAUGCUAGGGUCUAGGUGAGAUCGUUCUGGUUAGGAUUUCCUAUAGGCAUGUAUCAACAGAGCCAAAGCACAAUUAUUUUCUCCAAUAAAAUAGAACUUCAUUUAAGCACAUAAAUACAAACAUAAAGGAACAUUCUGUGUAAUUAAAAGACACAAUAUAGAGCUCAAGCUAAAGACAUUCAUGUGUCUAGGUGUAGUUAAAUGCCUCGCAAAAUAAACAGGCAUGACUUUAGACAGGUCCAGAAUGGUCUUAAUAUCCUGAAGCUUAUUCUUAUUCAAACUUCGCGUUUUAAUUGUUUGGAAUUCUUAGACAGAGUAGGUGGAAUUUCAUCCUUUGUAUGUUUUAAGGAGAGCUUCGCUCCUCUCUUUACCACCCACCCCCCGCCACCCAGUAAAAUACUGAACUUUCAUUUUAAUCCAUAACACUAAAUGCUUUUGUGUUUUUCUUUCUUCAAAGACUGUCAUUAAGAAUGUCUACAAGGAAAUCAUGGGAAAUGACAAAAUCUCCCCCAGAUUGAUUUUUUACGUGUUGUUGGAAAUAACCACAUAACUAAAAAAAAAAAAACCUACUUGCAGAAACACACCAAAUCACCAUAGGAAAGAAUCUUACGGAUAUUUCAUCAGAUUCCCACAAUGUAUAAUCAGAUAAGUAUUAGUUCACAACCAAAGACAUGAAGCGACAAGAGGAAAUAAGCCAUCUAUAUUAGAACUGUUAGACAUAGAAAUGCUGUUUAUGAAGUACUUAAAAAGUAAAAUAUAGGAUCAAAAUAGUGAGCAAACAACAGAAAAUUAUCAGGAAUAAUCAGGCAAUUCUUACAAAUAACACAAUGGAAUGUCUACAUAAAAUACGUAAACAUUGAAAGAAAACACAAGACAUGUUAAAAAGCAGACUAGCCACAGAUGAAAAGAGAAUUAAUGAAUUUGUAGGUUGAAGUGAAUAAAUUAACCAGAAUAUAAUCUUGAAAGAAAAAGGGCCAGAAGAAGUUAGAAUAAUUUAAAAUGUUGAGGAUAAAAUAAGAAGGUCUAACAUAAGUCAAAUCAGAGUCGCAGAAGUGUUCAGAAAUGCUGAAAGCUGUGAAUCCCCAGUUUCAUAGGCCAUUUUAAUCAACAUUGGGACUUCCCUGUUAAAAUCUUGGCUGAGUUCAGUGAGUUUCACAAACACAUAAAAAGCAAGCUUAAAUACUGGCAGAGGGUGGCCUGAAAAGGAAAUUCAGCUUUCUUGCUGAAUAUUAUUAUUAAUCAAAAUAAGUAUAAGGAUCAAAUAAUUAUAAUUGCAUUAAACUCUUUGGGGACUUGAGACUUCUGUCAUUUCUAUAAACUAAGAAUAGCUAUUAUUGAAUUCACUUAUGAAUCACAAUUCCUUACACUUAUUUGUCAUCUUACACAUCACAAAAUGCUUUCACCUGUUAUGAUUUGGUUUGAUGUUCACAGUGCAAAUGUGCAGGACAGGUAUUAUUAGCCCCGUUUAAUAGAUGAGUGAGUUGAACUUACGAAUGGUCAAGAGCUCUUUCCAUAGGCAACAUUGCCUCUAAGAUCCUCUUAGCUGUCCCUUUGUGAUGAAUAAUCACUUCUUUGCUCAAGGAAGAACUAGGCCUUCAAAGGUUGCUGUCAUUUUAUAUAAAUGUUGACUGAAGGUGUGCACAACCUGACCUGGAAAUACAAGAAGUAUGUCAUUGACAUAUCUUUAUGAUAUUCAAGCAGGUUACCUUUUUUCUACCAAUAAUACACCUUUCACUACACCCACCUUCAACAUUGGAGAUCACAUUUCAGCAUGAGAUUUGGGGGGGACAAACAUCCAAACUAUAUCAGAUAGCUUUUCCAGGAAUCUGGGUGAAAGAUAAUUUCCUAGUGCUAGAAUAUUUUAGUCACUGUGGUAUUAGGCAGGGAUAAUAUUAAAAUACUUAGCUAUUUUGGCAUAAACAUUGAUCCAUCAGAAUGGAUGCAAGCCUUAGCACUAGAGCAGAGUCUUCAGGUGUCUGCUAGACCAGGCUGGAUGGGGCACGUGGACCCCAGAGGUGGAGCCAGCACAACAGGAGCUUAGGCCAGCAGUUCUUUAAAACAAAUAUGGACAUAUUUCAGUAUUUUAGCAACAGAUGCUGCUAUACCAGCCUAAGAAUUAGGUAUAGAGAGCCAGGGAAAUAUCCAGGAGAUGAUUAGGAAACAGAAGGCUUACGUUUUGGUAAUGCGAAAGAAUGCCAAAGGGAGGAGUUAAUGAUUAGGCUCUGGUUUCUGCUUGGGAAACCAGGUAAACUCAUGUAUGUUAUAUCACAAAGAAAAAUACUGGUAUAUUUAAUUACAUUAAGACUAUAUUCUUCUCUGAAUUAAAUAAGACUACAUAGCAAAUAAUGAACAAGUGAUAAACUUGGAGACAUAGUCAUAAUAAAUAGACAACAAGAUUACACCCUCAAUAGAGUUCUUACCACAUCAACAAUAAAAACACUGAUAAUGCCUAAUAGGAAUUGGCAAAAACCAAAUAAAAAACUCCAAAAAUCCCAUAAAGAGAAAGGGUUCUGACAGCUUCUCACUGUAAAAAUUGGAAGCCCAAAUCAAACUAACCUAAACACUAAGGAAAUAAUAUAUUUUUGCAUGUAACCAGAAAGUCAGGUUGACUUCUCUGAGGUUCACAAGAUAACACCCAGCAGCACGUGGGGACAAUACGCUUUCCUGUUCACAUUCAUCAGAGGAGAAGUGUUCAUGUGGCUGCCACUAAGUGGUAAGUUUAUAGAUGAUUUUAAUUUUCUUUUUAAUAUUUUCCAUAGUUUUUAAAAACAGGCCUAAUUACAUUUAUUUAAACACAAAGAACGUGAAGUAACCUGUUAUUUAAGAACAUGGACAAAUUCCAGUCAAGAAUAUCCUCUAGAAGCUUGAGAGGUGGGAAAAGUAGUUUGGGGGAUUUAUUUGCUCUCUCAAGGUGAUGAAAAGAAAAAUAUCUGAAUCAAAGAGUCUGAGUUAUGGAAUUCUCUGCUUCUGGGGUUCUAGUGCAGCCCCGUUGGUCUGGAAUUCAGGAAAAAAGAUACAAGGCAUAAAAUCCCACAGAAAGUUACACAGUUGCAACAGAACAUUUAGCAUUUAUUGCUUGUUCUUCUAAUUAAACCUCUAAUUCAACUCACUAGGCCCUUGCCUGCUAGCUUUAGUGAGUAAAGUUGAGACCAUGUGACUGGACUUAGCUUGAUUUAAUGUCAUGUUCAUUGAGGAGAAUGGUUGGACUUUUUUUUAAAAAACAUGAGCAUAGGAAAUAUCUGAAGUCACUUUUAACACUAGUCUGAACAUGUAGGAUAAAGGAAUGUGUGUUACUUAUCUUUGACAUUUAAUUCAUUUAUUUAUUUUUGGAUUGAAAUAAGAACAAAAAUGUUCAUAUUUUAAUAUGUAUGUUUCUAUAGAGAAUAUUCUGUUUCCAUACCUUACAUUGCAGUCUCUAAGUGGGAGCAGAAGCCUUCCAUGUGAUCUUGAGUGUCUUUAUCUCCUUGUAAUUUGUCCUCAGAGAUAACAAAAUUCUCAGUUAGACUGCCCUUUUACCUUAAGAAGCAUGACUGAGUUCUUUCCUUUCAUCUUCAGGCUGCCAGUUAGUGACUUAAUUCAGUUUUAAUAAAGUCAUCAGGCUUGGAAAAUGCAGAUUCAUUCCAAUUUAUGUGUAUUAUAUCUUUUGCCCAUUAUAUCUUUUGCUGGGCCAGUCUAAUCACCAGAUUUUACAGAUGAAGAAUGUGAAACUCAAGCAAGUUAACUGAUUCAUCCCUAAUCAUUCAGAAGGGAAGCAGCUCCUUCAUUGUUUCAAGUUGCUUUCAUUAAUUUGAGUCAGUUUUACUUCUAUGGUGUUAUCCAUACACUCUUUCUUUUU